GGAUGUGAGGGUGAUCUGGCUGCGACAUCUGUCACCCCACUGAUCGCCGAGGUUGACUGGCUGAUCUGGCUGGCUAGGCAGGUGUCCCCUUCCUCCCUGAGCACUCCACGUGCAUCCCUCCCAAACCUGCAUGCUCGGUCGAAGAGGGUGACCUUCCCAGAAUAGAAGAGGACCGGUCUUCGGUCAAGGGUACGUGAGUAGCUACGCUCCCCGGCUCCAACCUCCAAACAAGCUCUCAAGGUCCAUUUGUAGGAGAACGUAGGGUAGUCAAGCUUCCAAGACUCCAGACACNNNN
rnacentral:snRNA from 1 species